UUGUCCUGAAAUUGGGGAAUUUUGUGGGCUUACCGUCAACAGACCGGGGAUGCUGGUGCACACAGUUGUUGAGCAUCCUAGCUCAACUUUGGGUUCUGCAAAAGUUGGUACAUCCUUUUCUUGUUCUAUCUCUGUACCACGUGAGUUAUCACACAAUUUGGCAUCUAAAGAUCAGUCAUCAGCAGGUAACAGUGAUUGUUCAAAGAAAGAAGAACUGGUCUUACCAACUGAUAGCAAACAUGAUUCUGCAAAGUUUUCUGAAGAUAGUUCCCAGGAAGUGAGAAAGUGCUCUG